rnacentral:tRNA from 1 species
CUGCCGUGCCGGUCGGGAUGUAGACGGCGUCGUUGGUGUUGAUGCCGUCGCCGUUCAGGUCGGCGCUGGCGGU